UGGGGAAUAUUGGACAAUGGGGGCAACCCUGAUCCAGCAAUGCCGCGUGUGUGAAGAAGGCCUUCGGGUUGUAAAGCACUUUCGGUGGGGAAAAACAAGGCGGAGCUAAUAUCUCUGCCUCUGAUGGUACCCAAAGAAGAAGCACCGGCUAACUCUGUGCCAGCAGCCGGGGGAAUACAGAGGGUGCAAGCGUUAAUCGGAAUUACUGGGCGUAAAGCGUGCGUAGGUGGUUCUUUAAGUCAGGUGUGAAAUCCCUGGGCUCAACCUGGGAACUGCAUUUGAUACUGAAGAGCUAGAGUGUGGUAGAGGAUAGUGGAAUUCCCGGUGUAGCGGUGAAAUGCGUAGAUAUCGGGAGGAACAUCAGUGGCGAAGGCGGCUAUCUGGACUAACACUGACACUGAGGCACAAAAGCGUGGGUAGCAAA
rnacentral:rRNA from 1 species